UAAAGCUACAAAGAGCUAAUGGGGAAUGCCUUGGUACUGACAGCCGACGAAGGACGUGUAAAGCUGCGAUAAGCCACGGGGAACUGCUAAAAGGUCUUGAUCCGUGGAAAUCCGAAUGGGGAAACCCUCCAGAGUUAAAACUUUGGAACCCGUAACUGAAUACAUAGGUUGCGCGGAGGAAAGCCUGUGAACUGAAACAUCUUAGUAACAGGACGAAGAGAAAAUAAACCAAUGAUUCCGAGAGUAGCGGCGAGCGAAAUUGGAAGAGCCUAAAUUGUGUGUACGUGAUAGCCUGCAAGCGUUGUGCACAUGAGGUUGUGGGACUUGCAUCAUAUUUUGCAGAAUAUGGAUUGAGUUAGAAAAUUAUUUAUUAGUUAAAGUCAACUGGGAAGUUGCGCCAUAGAGAGUGAUAGCCUCGUAAACGACAAUAAAUAAUCUCAAGUAAGUAUCCCGAGUAAGGCGGGGCACGUGAAACCCUGUCUGAAUCCACCGGGACCAUCCGGUAAGGCUAAAUACUAGUCAGUGACCGAUAGUGAACGAGUACAGUGAUGGAAAGGCGAAAAGAACAGUGAGAAGCUGAGUGAAAUAGACCCUGAAACCGUUAGCUUACAACCAGUCAGAGCACAAUUAAUUGUGUGAUGGCGUGCCUGUUGAAGAAUGAGCCGGCGAGUUAUUUUUUGUUGCGAGGUUAAGGAGAUUAUAUCCGGAGCCACAGGGAAACCGAGUCUGAAUAGGGCGUUAAGUAACAGGAAAUAGACCCGAACCUUGGUGAUCUAACCUUGACCAGGAUGAAGCGUGGGUAACACUACGUGGAGGUCCGAACCAACCGAUGUUGAAAAAUCGGUGGAUGAGUUGAGGUUAGGGGUGAAAUGCCAAUCGAACCAAGAGCUAGCUGGUUCUCCCCGAAAUGCGUUUAGGCACAGCGUUGGAUUUAUCUUGCAGGAGGUAGAGCACUGGUUUUGUGCGGGCGUCGAAAUGAUGUACCAAACAAUGUCAAACUCCGAAUACCUGUAAUGUCAUUAUCCAGCAGUGAGGCUAUGAGUGAUAAGAUCCAUGGCCAAGAGGGAAACAGCCCAGAACGCCAGUUAAGGUCCCUAAUAUAUGCUAAGUGGUUAAGGAGGUAGAGUUACUGAGACAACCAGGAGGUUGGCUUAGAAGCAGCCAUUCAUUGAAAGAGUGCGUAAUAGCUCACUGGUCAAGUGACUCCGCGCCGAAAAUACACCGGGACUAAAGCAUAUAACCGAAGCUGCGUCAUAUAGUUUACUAUAUGGGUAGGGGAGCGUACUGUAGUAAGACGAAGCUAGAGUGAAAACACUAGUGGAUGAGGCAGUAGUGAGAAUGUCGGCAUAAGUAGCGAAAACAUUGGUGAGAAUCCAAUGCACCGAAAACCUAAGGUUUCCCACGGCAGGCUCGUCCGCGUGGGGUUAGUCGGAUCCUAAGCUCAGGCCAAACGGCGUAGGCGAUGGACAAUAGGUUGAUAUUCCUAUACUAUCUGAUAAUCGUUAUCAGAAGCGGAGGGACGCAAGAGGAUAAGCACGCAGUCGAAUGGAAGAGACUGUAUAAGCGUGUAGCUAGGUUUGACAGGAAAAUCCGUCAAAUCGUUAAUGUGAGGCGUGAUGUGGAGAGUCUACGGACUCGAAGGUGUUGACUCCAAAUUGCCAAGAAAAUCUUCGCUCUCGAGAUUAUUGGGUAUCCGUACCGUAAACCGCCACAGGUAGGUUGGUAGAAAAUACUAAGGUGCGCGAGACAACUCUCGCUAAGGAACUCGGCAAAAUCACCUCGUAACUUCGGGAGAAGAGGUACCCUGGUAGCGUGAAGCGAUUUACUCGUGAAGCGUGAUAGGGUCGCAGUGAAUAGGCCCAAGCGACUGUUUACCAAAAACACAGGUCUCUGCUAAGUCGAUCAAGACGAUGUAUAGGGGCUGACGCCUGCCCGGUGUCGGAAGGUUACGCGGAAAUGUUAGAAGCAAUUCAAAGCAUCGAAGCUAAGCCCCGAUGAACGGCGGCCGUAACUAUAACGGUCCUAAGGUAGCGAAAUUCCUUGUCAGGUA
rnacentral:rRNA from 1 species